rnacentral:misc_RNA from 1 species
GUGAAUCAUCGAAUUUUUGAACGCAAAUUGCGCUUUCUGGCAUCCCGGGAAGCAUGCCUGUUUGAGGGUCAGUAUUAACAAAAAAUCGGUUUGGUUGCAAAUUGUGACGUUUCUGGAGUUUGGGCUAUCUUAACUUUUUUGGUUAAGGGGCUCAAAAUUGACCUUUUUUGCGCAUUUUUAGACGCACAUACAUUCUUUUUUUUAUUCGCCUAUUUUUAAUGCCAAAAUCUUA